rnacentral:piRNA from 1 species
UGAUAGUUGAGGCAUACUUAUUUGCAU